GAACCUUGUUCUUAUGUCUUGUGAUAAGCUCGACGCUGUGCCAUUUGAGCUGGCUAAUAUAUCUAACCUUCACGAGAUGCGGUUGGAAAACACAAGCAAAGCGGUCAAAUCUGCAACAGAUAUACUGGAAAGCAAGACAUCUAAAAGCAUCAAAUUCAUCCUUACCAUAUUCCCUCCUGAAGCUGGAUCCAAGCCCACGCAGUGAACUGAAAGGUCAGUCGAAUUUAUUUGUAUUGAUAGUCUUCGCUAAACUCUUGUCUGCACGACUAUAUUCUUUUUCAGCUGGCAUACAUUAUCCAUGAAAUUUCAUAGUUCCCCUUACUUUCUGAAUUACACUCUGCUCAUGAUUCGACCAAGAUUCAGAUUAGAAAAUACCCUUCGUUUUAUUCUAAUAUAAAUUAAUCUCUUUCAUAGUAUACGAGUAUAUGGGUUAUUGUGAAUGAUUAUUAAUAGUUUCUUCAAAACCUCUCUGCAACAGUUUUCUUUUCUUUGUUUCCCUUUUUUUCAUUUACUAAUUUUGCUCCUUUUUACAGGAGAGAAUGGAGACAUUGAGGUUGUUGGAAAUCUGGGAUCAUGGAUAUGGUGCGACUCAUGUUUUCUGAUAAGAUUGUACCAAUAAAGAAAGCCUUUUGUUUAUACAAGCAUUGUCAUUUUUGAAAUAAAUGACAUAUGUUUAAAUAAAUGCACCCCGCUCUCGGCUUGAAACAAACACCCUUCCUGGGAUUCUUGCAGUUCGAGUUACGCAUCAUGUGGAGUAUUUUCUUUCUCAGUUGUAAAACUACUGUUUGCAUGUUUCCAAUUCUGUUUCCGUUGUAUUUGGUUUGUUUCAUUUUUGUAAGACUGUUGCUUUCAUCUAUCAUUGUUCUGUUGAAAGACAAAUGUCAUUCCAUUCCAAGCAAAUAAAGUGUUGUGUGUUUUAUUACAAACUUGGAAUCUUUCAAGUUCAGAUUAUGCAUCCAUAGGUUGCCAAAAUGAGUUUAACUAUGUACUGAAAGUGUCAUAGAUUUUUUACAGUAUUAGAUUACCUAAAAGGUAAUUACAGGUAAUUUUUGCUCAUAAAAAGUAGGAUUAGUAACUUAAGAAAUAAGGCAUAUUACCUGCUUGGCUCAACAGAUGAAUGAAGUGCAAAAACACAUGACCACGUCAAAGAGCAUUCUAUUUGUUUAAGAAGCGAUGUCACCCUGAAUCCCCCCUGCAGAAAGGAGGAAAAUAAGAAAAAGAAGAAAGAGAUUUUUACACUCUGUCACCUGAUCCAAACUUACAAAUAAAAUGAGCCACGUUUUUCAGCCCUUAUCCGAAUUUGCCCAUAUUGUAUAAUAUAAUUUCAAAGUUAGGUCACUUUCCCCUAUUUUCCUUCUUGCCCCCUCCUGAUCGUUAAUUGACAAACUCGAUUUAUUGUUGGUGUUUGGAGCUUAAAUCAUAGUUAGAGUACUGAUUUUGUAAGAUUGGGUUGAAAAUUCAAUUAGAAAGAUUAUCGACCUUUGCUAAAAAAGCUUGAAGAAGUAGAAUUUAAUAUUUGUGAGAAAUUUGGAGAGGAUCUUGUUUAUGCUUGUUGGAAAUAGUCCAAGGAAGUUGUUCUACAAAAUUUAAAAUCAUUUGGUGGAGAUUUGGAGUAAGUUUGAACAAGAACUGCAAUUGAACAAUAAUUGCAGAAAAGUUUGUCUCUAUAGCUCACCACAUGUUA
rnacentral:lncRNA from 1 species